UCAAAUACUAAGUGUCUCAUGGCAUGGCAAGCAGUCUUUGUGCUUAACUGUGGAUGCUAUAAUGCAGCCAGAUAGUUAAGAUUGAUUCACAUCUUCUUCUGGUCUUUUUGUAAAAUAAACACAACUGCAAGUAUUCUUCUCUGACUGACAGGCUGAGAAUGCAGUGCAUGCUUUAUGCCUAGUCAAUAACAAAUGCAUGCGCUUAUAAAAAAAAUAACAUACACACACAUGAGAAUAAUACAGACACAGAUAAAUAUGAAAUAACCAUAAAAAAAACCAUAGGGGCAUUCCGAGAAUCGAACUCGGGACCUCUCGCACCCAAAGCGAGAAUCAUACCACUAGACCAAAUGCCCAUAUUGAAAUAUAUGGGGCUAUAUCAUUAUUUAUUCAUGCAUUGUCUUCAGUUCUACAGUAAGACUGCAUAUAGAUUGUAAGAUUUGGUUACCUGGAUGGGUAAUUAUCAAUCAAGAUAACUGUUUUCCAAGUUAACAUAUGAAAGAGAGUUUGCUUACCCCUCUGGUUUUAUAUAUUUAAAGACUUCCCAUGAAUUGCCAUAUAAUUUAAUUACAUUUACAGUGGCAAGGUGUCCCUCUUUACUGAAAAACUUCCAGCUAAAACUGUUAAUUACCUUCCAACACAUUCACAUUCAGCCCCUGAUGCUUAUAAGUAUACAAAAUAACAAGUCAAGAUUGUCAGCUUUCAUACUUCAAAAGCUUAAAAUUAGAAAUAAUUGCUAGUUGGCAUUUAAGUAUGAGGAUUAAUAAACCAGGGUUACUUGGGAAGUCACACCCUAAGUAAGAAUCAGAUGACAGGACCAAAAGCCUUACCAUGCAGUAUUUGUUAUUUGCUAAUCAUAUCGAAAAGUAAUUAAUUGAUUUGCUAAAAAUAUUUUAGGGUGUAUUAUGAAGUUAAAACCUUUGCUUCUAGCUUGUAAAUUUGAUUUUUAAAACAUGAAAUCAGUAAGUUGGUUUCUUACACAAGUUGAAACAUUAUUUGUACUUCACAAUUCUAAUAUCGCUUCUAAGUGCAGUGAUCAGAAAUUCAAUAUCGCAUGUUUUGAUAUGUUGGUUUAAUCACAUAUUCCACCUAGUUUUUGUAAGAUACUUGCUAAUUACAUCUGCAAAGGAUAUCAAGAUAUAAUUGUGUUUGUUGGAAAUCCACAUCGAUUAGAGAUAAAGACAUUUCAUAAUAUAUAUGUGGGUGCAAACCUCAUCUUACAAGCCGAUUUUAUAAGGUUGAGUUAGGCUUAAGUCCAUUUCUUAAUAUGGUAUCAGACUUAUUUAGAGUCUAUCCGACCACCGAGAGUUUGUUAGACUUAUCAGGUCACUCGCUAUCAGGUGUUAUUGGAUCACCCAUAAAUGUAUAGUCUCACGUACAAGUUAGUAGCAUCGGCGUAAGGGGUGUGUUGGAAAUCUCACAUCAACUAGAGAUAAGGACAAUUCAUAGUUUAUAAGUAGGUACAAAUCUCAUCUUAUAAGUCGGUUUCAUAAGGUUUAGUUAGGUUUAAGUCCACUUCUUAAUAGUGUUGAUACAUUUGUUCAUAAGAACUUGAUAUUGUUGGGGGGGGGGGGGGGGGCAUGCAUCAUCAACAACAACUCACAACCUCUUAAGGAUACAACUUGAUAUCCUUGUUUUUUGUUACAAGGAUACAACUGUCUCUUAGAGACUAGCUAGCAAGAACAAUAUAAGGCUUUUUGUGUAGUAAAGAGGGCAUAGAAUAAUAUUGUAGAAAUUUUCUUAUCUUGCCUAGUUUUCUCAUAGUUUUAUUCCCCUUUACGUUUCCUCUUCUUAACCUUUAACGUAACAACCUCAUUCGUUAUUAUGUUAUUCAAUUUGAAAUAACAUAGUUGAUUCAGCAAUAUUUUAAUUCAUUGUAGAAUAUAGAGUUCAAGAGGCACAUAUGAGUUAAGAUCAUAUACCACAAUCUAGCGUUAAAAUUGAUGCUUGCUAACACGUGCAGAUAUAGGUAAAUCAUAACAAUGCUAAGUGUCUUGGAGCUUAAAUGUAAAAAGACAGAUCAACAGUCAAGCACAAUACAAACAAAACUGAUUGUUAAGAUUGUGAUUUGAAUUUUCUCCUAUUCUUUAGAAAAAAUGCAACUGCAAGUAUUCUAUCAUGUCCGAGAAUGCAGGGUUUUCUUGUGCCAACUCAAUGACAAAAACACAUGAAGACAAUUCAUGCACAGACAGACAAAAAGAGGGGGCAUUCCGAGAAUUGAACUCGGGACCUCUCGCACCCUAAGCGAGAAUCAUACCACUAGACCAAAUGCCCAUAUUUGGAGAAUAAGGGCAAAGUCAAAUCUAUGUCAGUCUAAUUUAGAAUUGUAUAUGAAUGCCACAUUCUCUUCAGUUCAAGGGUAAGAUUGCAUACCAGAUUUGCUUACCUGGAUAUGCAAUUGUAACUCAAGGCAACCUGUUUUGCCAAUCAAGGCAUCAAAGUGAGUUUACUAAUUUACCACUCAAGUUUUAUGUAUAAACUUUCUCCGUACAGAUAUCCUGUUUUGGAGACAAUGGUGUUCAAUUCAAGGCACUAUUUAUGGAGCAGUAACUCUCAGCACCUCUCCUAAUUUAGAUUAUUUACCUGCUUUUCUUUAUAAAGGAUCUGUACCAUUAUCUCUGGUAUUAUAUUUUUAAGUAUCAACUACGACUUAAAACAAAUUAUUGUAUUACAUUUUCGGUGGCAAGCAGUUAAAGACUCAUUCAUCCCAACACAAUCCAUGUCAGUUUUAUAUUUAAAUUGUAUAUGCAAGUCACAUUCUCUACAGUUCUAUGGUAAGAUUCCAUACAAAUUACCAGAUUUUCUUACCUGGAUAGGCAAUUGUAAGUCAUGGUUACCUAUUUUUCUAGUCAAGUUAUCAAAGUGAAUUUACAAUUUAUCACACUGGUUUCAUGUAUAUACUUUCUCGCUACAGAUAUGGUGUUCAAUGCACUGUGGAGCAUUGAAGGUUUAAGUACCAUUAUCUCCGGAUAUAUUUUAAUCAUCAACUUUGACUUACAACACAUUACUGUAUUAAAUUUUCAGAGGCAAGCUGUUACUUGCACAUAAAAAUUUCAGAUAAAACUGUCGAUCUACAAUUUCAUUCAUCCCAAGGAAUCACAUGCAACCUCUGAUGUUUAUUAUUAUUUAACUAAAGGAACUAACAUGUCAAAUUUGUCAACUUCCGGAACGCGAAAAAACAAAAAUUGAGAAAUCAAACCUGAUGCUUGUUGGCUAUAGCGAUUACCAGAUCAAUCUUGUCAGUUCCAAAUCGUCAAAUAACAAAAGGGCAUCCAGAGAAUGAAGUUGGAACCUAUCGCGCCCCACUUUUCACUUUUCUUCUCCUGAAAGAGAGAAACUGACCUAGAACAGUUAAUGAAAGGGAUUUUUGAG
rnacentral:lncRNA from 1 species